rnacentral:rRNA from 1 species
GAUGAACGCUAGCGGCAGGCUUAACACAUGCAAGUCGAGGGGUAUAGUUCUUCGGAACUAGAGACCGGCGCACGGGUGCGUAACGCGUAUGCAAUCUACCUUUUGCAGAGGGAUAGCCCAGAGAAAUUUGGAUUAAUACCUCAUAGUAUGUGAGAAUGGCAUCAUUUUCACAUUAAAGUCACAACGGCAAAAGAUGAGCAUGCGUCCCAUUAGCUUGUUGGUAAGGUAACGGCUUACAAAGGCAACGAUGGGUAGGGGUCCUGAGAGGGAGAUCCCCCACACUGGUACUGAGACACGGACCAGACUCCUAAGGGAGGCAGCAGUGAGGAAUAUUGGACAAUGGGCGCAAGCCUGAUCCAGCCAUGCCGCGUGCAGGAUGACGGUCCUAUGGAUUGUAAACUGCUUUUGUACAGGAAGAAACACUGGUUCGUGAACCAGCUUGACGGUACUGUAAGAAUAAGGAUCGGCUAACUCCGUGCCAGCAGCCGCGGUAACAC